UACAGAGGUCUCAAGCGUUGUUCGGAUUCAUUGGGCGUAAAGGGUGCGUAGGCGGCGCGGUAAGUCGGGUGUGAAAUUCUCGGAGCUUAACUCCGAAACUGCAUUCGAUACUGCCGUGCUUGAGGACUGGAGAGGAGACUGGAAUUUACGGUGUAGCGGUGAAAUGCGUAGAUAUCGUAAGGAAGACCAGUGGCGAAGGCGGGUCUCGUGGACAGUUCCUGACGCUGAGGCACGGAAGGCCAGGGGAGCAAACGGG
rnacentral:rRNA from 1 species